GGAAGAUGAAAUAUACAAUAUUGCUUAAUAUGUGUUACAUUUGCGAUGUACUGUUCCAGGGCUGCGCUUGGAAGAUACAAAAUAUAUGUGCAAGGAUAGCAUGAGAGAAUGUACCGAUUCAUGAUGAGGAGUAGGGAGGAGGACUAAAAGAAUGUCCAAUUUGCAAGACAUCUAGAUAACUGGGGCCUCUUGGACUCCAGGAACUGGAUCAAACCAACCUUGCAGUUUGGACUGACACCAAGGGCUCAGAGAGCAUGCGUAAGAAGAAAAGAGAUUGGAAGAGGGUCGUGUAGGGAUAAGA